GGUUGAUUGAGUGAUGUGGCCAGCACAGGCAGCUAACCCUUCCUCAGCACACCACGUGUGUCCCUCCUAAAGCUAUGUUCUGGGGAAAGGAGGAUGACCUCUCCCGGAGACAAGGAGAACUGGUCUUCAGCCAAGAGUCUAGCUGUGCUCUGUCAAGGCUCCCACCUCCCUAGUCUAUACAGAUUGCCAGUAUUUAUUUUUAAGGACUGAAGUCAUACAAAGU
rnacentral:sRNA from 14 species